rnacentral:rRNA from 1 species
AGCGAACGCUGGCGGCGUGCCUAACACAUGCAAGUCGAACGUGAAAAGGGAAACCUGAGUAAAGUGGCGUACGGGUGAGUAACGCGUAGGUAAUCUACCCCAGAAUCUGGAAUAACCUGCCGAAAGGCGGGCUAAUACUGGAUAGAGCGAGGGAACUCGUAAGAGAGUUUUUCGGGAAAGGGAGCCCGCAAGGGCCUUCGUUCUGGGAUGAGCCUGCGUCUCAUUAGCUAGUUGGUAAGGUAACGGCUUACCAAGGCGAUGAUGAGUAGCUGGUCUGAGAGGAUGAUCAGCCACACUGGAACUGAAACACGGUCCAGACUCCUACGGGAGGCAGCAGUGGGGAAUCUUGCGCAAUGGACGAAAGUCUGACGCAGCCACGCCGCGUGAGUGAAGAAGGCCUUCGGGUUGUAAAGCUCUGUCGGAUGGGACGAACAUCUUCAUAGUGAAUAGCUAUGAGGACUGACGGUACCACCAAAGGAAGCACCGGCUAACUCCGUG